ACAUCAUAGGUGGUUUCAUUUUAUCUAGCCAAAAAUCCCUUUUCAUGAUUCACCUUAUAAUCUGGUAAGUGAGCCAGUGAUUCAUCCAGCAGCAGCUUAAUUAUUAUGUUGAGAAAAAGGCAGAAGAAAGCAAACAAACAUGUCUAUCCAAGGUUCGGGUUUGAUCACUACAUAAAGAUAUUUGCUGGACUGAAGUUUCAGGUCGAAGAGCCAAGGUGGGAAGCAAAGAAGGCCAUGAAAGUUUAUGUCAGAAGCGAUACAAUUGAAAGUGCUUAGAUUCCAAUUCAAGAAGGAAAACGUGAGUUUAGAUUCCAUUUCAAGAAGGAAAAUGCAGUUUGAAAGAAAAUGUUUGUUCAUUAAAUUUAUAUAUUAUCUCUUUUUGUGUUGUCCGGUAAAUUUAAAUAAUUCGUAAUUCACAAAGACUGUAGCGCCUACUGAUAUGAAGAGUAAAGUUGUGAGUGAUUUGUGACCAUGCAGAAGCCUUCCCUCAUGUUUGGUCAACAUUCUUUUCCAGGGAAACAUGUGGUCGAUGUUUUGUGUAAACACGUGCACUGCAAUUUGUGCUAAGUAACACAAAGCUUUAUUCUGUCCCACCUACCUAACACUAGCUGUAUUUCUACAAUGUCUCCUCUCCCAGAGAACUUGAUAGUAAUGGCUAGAAAUUUCUACUGCCUUCGACUCUUUAUCAGACCUUCAAAUGACUAGGUUAUCUGAGAUGUCGACUCUGGUAGGGGCGCAGUUCCAUGUUGUUUUACGGAUGUAGCUCUGUCAAUUAAGUACUACUGACUCCCGGUGAAGUUAGAAGUUCUUUUUGUAGCUAUUCUACAAAUUCCUGUGGCAUUUGCUAUUUUGUUAAUCAAUUAUGUACAUGCCUCUGAAAAACAUGGGCAAGAGAACAGGAAUUUGCUACUGUGUUAAUUAAUUUUGUCCAUGCAUCUGAACAAAAUGGGCAAAAGGGAAAGUAAGUCUCUAUCUUGAACAACUGACUUUUUCUUUCUCUUACCCAUCUUAUGCAUUUGCUUUGCUUACUCCAUCUUUUGGCCUUCGAUUUUGGAUUCAUUAAAUUUCUACAUUUUGGUUCCCCUUUUUCUCAGCAUUUUUUUUAUUUUUUUUUUUAAAAAAUUGCAAAGUUUUUAUUUUUAAUUUUGCUAUGAAUGUACACUAUUUACUAUCAGACAGAAAAAAAUAUAUGUAAUGAAAAGGUAAGAACUUUGAUGUAGCAAAUAUCUUUGACGAUAUGCCUCAGGUACUGAAUAACUUUUUUUUUCCAUUCUAUUUUUGAUGUUGUUCUAAUGUAGAAAUCUAUCACCCGGCGACCAAAGGUACGUUACUUGCUUCUAUUGGACAGAAUCACUAAAUAAUCAUAUAUUUGUUAAAUAAAUGAUUAUUUGUUUGAAAUGCAUUUAAAUUUUUUAUAUAUCUAUUGUCGUAUCGCUAUUGUUUGCUACUUGGUAUGUAUUCAUCAUUGAAUUAGAUCAACAGCAAUUACAUUUUUUUUAAUCAUAUUUAUAAACCUCUUAAAGGGAUGUAUUAUAGCUGUGAUACUUUUUCAAUUGUGCUUUUUGUGUUGCAACUAUUAAUUUAAUCGCGUAAUCUUCGUGGUUGUGCAUGUGAUUAGGUGGGAGUAAUGUGCCAACAUUUUAAGAAUAUUCAAGAAUGCCCCAAAAUUAUUUGUGGCAAAUUUCCUUGAGGGUAAAGUAAGGCAGACAGUGGUUCCAUUUCUUUAAGUAUUUUUUUUCAUAAGGAUUUCUUUUAAGAAGUUUUUGUUUGGUUGGAUACUAAUUAACUUCCAUUGUAUGCUGAGUUGUUGUCUGAUAACUUAGUGUUACUACUACUAUGGAUGUGGUAACUUAACAAUUAGGUGGAAUUUGUUUCCCAUCUUCAAACCGCCACACCUUUCUCUAUAAUCAAAGUACCUCUUCACUAUGUUCCAUUUUUAAGCUUUCACACUCAUAUUUCUAUCUUCUGUGAUGAAUUCACUGACCUACAUUCACCACUUAACACUUCAAUAAGUCAAUUCAAAAGACAUAGCAGUUGUAGGUGAGCAUCACUUUUCUUUCUUCUUAUUUCCUUUCCUCUUCGAUAUUACAUCCUGAUUGUUUGAUUAAACCUGAUUGCUUGAUUAAACUUGAGAACUCAAUAAAGGAUAGAAGAAUUCUCAAUUUAUUAAAAUGAAACUAACAAAAAUGUGAAGGAAGGACAAACAAAGUAUGGAGGGAGUACAUUUCUUUUUUUUUUUUUAUUAGAUUUCUGGUUAGCCUCAUUGAUAAUUUGCACUCUUCUUCCAGGUGAAAAAGAGUUACACAAUUGCAUGAUCUUUUCUUGGCAGUCAGUGAUAGCCGCGUAUCCUUUAAAAACUAUAUGAGGACAACAAAUAUGCUCCAAUGCUGUAACAUUUCAUGAUGCCUAAUAACAUAAAAUUAAGAACUAGCUUCUAGAUUUAGUUUUUUCUACUUCGUUUAAGCUUUACUUCUAUUUCUCCCUCAACUGAAGAUUAACUUCAUAAUAUAUAAUGUCUGUGUGCUUUUUUUUGCUUUAGGAAGAAAUAUUAUAUUAGAAGGCCACAGAGUUAGGAACAUCUUCUGGUGUAUAAACUUAGUGUCACGAUCUUGGAUUCCAAGGCCUAAAAAACAUAAGCAAGAGCUGGAAAAUUGAUGCAGGAUCAAAAGAAUUCACAAGCUCUCUUUGCAGUGCUACACCUAUCACAUGAGUAUGCUAAAGGAAUCAUAAGGACAUUUGGAUUUCCGUGAGGCAAUAAAUAUGUAAACUGCUUUAUAAAGACACUUAUAUUUUUCCUGUGAAGAUUCAAAUACAAUUUUGUAUAAAUCAUCCCUUCUUAAUUAUAAGCACUGAUAUCCAAGCUAUUGAGCCUACCAAGAAGAGUGAGUGAGAUCCAAAAGAGAAAAUGAUUGUUUGUACUACCAGAAUGACCCUAAGAGCUUCUUUGAACGAACUGUCAUUGUUCUUGGUUCUUUUAUUGGUGGACGUUAUUUUUCCCUUUUACUUAUGCUAAGAUUUGGUUUCUUUUC